rnacentral:rRNA from 1 species
UGCAAGUCGAACGGAAAGGCCUAAGCUUGCUUGGGUACUCGAGUGGCGAACGGGUGAGUAACACGUGAGUGAUCUGCCCUCAACUUCGGGAUAAGCCUGGGAAACUGGGUCUAAUACUGGAUAGGACCAUCCUUUAGUGUGUGAUGGUGGAAAGUUUUUUCGGUUGGGGAUGAGCUCGCGGCCUAUCAGCUUGUUGGUGGGGUAAUGGCCUACCAAGGCGUCGACGGGUAGCCGGCCUGAGAGGGUGUACGGCCACAUUGGGACUGAGACACGGCCCAGACUCCUACGGGAGGCAGCAGUGGGGAAUAUUGCACAAUGGGCGGAAGCCUGAUGCAGCGACGCCGCGUGAGGGAUGACGGCCUUCGGGUUGUAAACCUCUUUCGACAGGGACGAAGCUUUUGUGACGGUACCUGUAUAAGAAGCACCGGCUAACUACGUGCCAGCAGCCGCGGUAAUACGUAGGGUGCGAGCGUUGUCCGGAAUUACUGGGCGUAAAGAGCUCGUAGGUGGUUUGUCGCGUCGUCUGUGAAAUUCCGGGGCUUAACUCCGGGCGUGCAGGCGAUACGGGCAUAACUUGAGUGCUGUAGGGGAGACUGGAAUUCCUGGUGUAGCGGUGAAAUGCGCAGAUAUCAGGAGGAACACCGAUGGCGAAGGCAGGUCUCUGGGCAGUAACUGACGCUGAGGAGCGAAAGCAUGGGGAGCGAACAGGAUUAGAUACCCUGGUAGUCCAUGCCGUAAACGGUGGGCGCUAGGUGUAGGGGGACUUCCACGUCUUCUGUGCCGUAGCUAACGCAUUAAGCGCCCC